GUGACCUGAGUGCCCGCAGCUCACAGCCCGGCCCUGCAACCGUCCUAUCACAGUAUCUCCCCGGGUUUGGGACAAGGGUAACUGACUCUUGGUAAAGCAUCCAGUUUCCCUGAUUGGAGCAGCUGUGAGCCUCGGAAGGACGAGGGCAUUGGUCAGCGGGUUUUACAGAGGAAAGGAAGACCACUGGUUAGCACAGCAAGACGGAGAUGUGUACAAUCAGCUGGUGUGACCCAUAAGGGGCAGCUCCAGGACACACUGGUUAAGAGCAUACCUCUGGCCAUGGCAAUGAGAGAUCUCUCCAAAUGGACCAUGAAGCAAGAGAAGAGGCUCUCAAGAAUCUCCAGAGUUUGGGCUCAUUCUUCUGCUACGUAUGGGCUCCUUCCAUGCUGUGGGGAAGAUGACUCCUGGCUGCCAGAGUCACACCCUUCCAACCUCAUGAUCCCAAAGGCUAAAGGCAGUCCUUCCAACUAUAUGCAGCAGAAAAAUCCUGGGAAGGAGCUCUGACUGAGCCAACUAGAACCAUGGCCAGAAGGAUGGAGCCCUCCAAACAGCCAGACCUUGUCAAGAACCCACACUUCAGCAGAGGACGGAAUCGCGGCUCUGCGAUCGACAGCCUCUCCACAGCCAUUUGGAAUUCGGGGUGGGGAGGGUGAGAGGAAGUUUCUGGAAGGAAAGAGGAUGCCCGGCAGUCCUAAACAGCAAAAUAUCUUUGACAACAAAUCCUAACUGCUCUUCCGGACUAUGCCCACCUCCCCUGCCACUGCACCAGCUCCCCCUAUUUUGUACAUGAAUCAUCUCUGUCUCCUGCAGAUUCCAUCCUUUCUGUUUCAGUCAUGGGCCUGUUAAUUAGGCCUGUUCCUCACCGUGCUUCGGUGCCUUUGGUUCUGUGACACGGGGCUGCGGGGAAAAGCAGCUAAAGAGGACUAAUUAAGACUCGGAGAGCUUUCAAUAAGGUACAUGGAAAUGAACAAAUUAACUGACGAUGCCAAAAAGGCAAUAUUGCCCCAGUGGGGAUUCCGCAUAUGGAGGUAACAUUAAGGAGUGCAAUAGUCAUUGAGAGCAAACUACGAAUUAUGAGUGAUAUUCAGUCCCAUUACCCCCAAGGUGCCGUAUGUAAUAGCAGGAAAAUGUCAUUAGAUGUUAGGAGACAAAACAAACAGGUUAAGAAAGCCCU